CUCACUUGUGUGUGGGUUGUGAGGUUUGAGUUUCAGAGAGUCUCUCUCUCUCUCUCUCUCUUCUUUGGGACUCUGAGAGGUCUCUCAAUCUCAAACCCAUCUACCCAAGUUCAAUUCUUGAAACAUUAUUGUUGUCUUUGUAGGUAACCAAGUGCGUUCUCAAAGCUGAGCUACAUUCCCACCAAGAAAGAUAGUUCAUAAGGUUUUGGGACCAUGAAGCACAAAGAAGGAAAACCAUUGAUUCAUCCAGAUAAAAGAUCCAGGGUAGUCCCCAUUUCGAUUAUGUUCGUCGUACUAUGUGGAUUUUCAUUCUAUCUUGGCGGCAUAUUUUGUUCCGGGAAGGACAAGUACUUUACUAAAGAUGUUGUCAAAGUGGUUGAAUCGCCUAAGGAAACCAAUGCUGGGCCUCUCCAAAUGAAGUCCUUUGCCUUCCCUGAAUGCAGCAUUGACUAUCAAGACUACACUCCGUGCACAGACCCAAGGAGGUGGAGGAAGUAUAGUGUUCAUCGACUCACUUUCUUGGAGCGCCAUUGUCCCCCGGCAUUUGAAAGGAAGGAAUGCUUAGUCCCCCCACCAGAUGGGUACAAACCACCAAUCAAAUGGCCAAAGAGCAGGGAUGAGUGUUGGUACAGGAAUGUGCCUUAUGAUUGGAUCAACAAGCAGAAGUCUAAUCAGAACUGGCUAAGGAAAGAAGGGGACAAAUUCCACUUCCCCGGUGGGGGUACUAUGUUCCCCAAAGGUGUUGGUGCCUACGUUGAUUUGAUGCAAGAUCUGAUCCCGGAAAUCCAUGAUGGGACGAUUCGAACUGCCAUUGAUACCGGCUGUGGGGUUGCUAGUUGGGGAGGCGAUUUACUAGAUCGUGGAAUUCUAACGGUCUCCCUUGCCCCAAGGGAUAAUCAUGAGGCUCAAGUCCAAUUUGCACUGGAACGCGGCAUUCCCGCGAUUCUGGGCGUCAUUUCCACUCAGCGACUUCCUUUCCCUUCGAAUGCCUUUGAUAUGGCUCAUUGCUCGAGAUGUCUUAUCCCAUGGACAGAAUUUGGUGGGAUUUACCUUCUAGAGGUAUUCCGCAUUCUCCGUCCUGGAGGCUUCUGGGUUCUGUCUGGUCCUCCUGUGAACUAUGAAAACCGCUGGAGAGGCUGGAACACAACCGUGGAAGAGCAGAAAUCUGAUUACGAAAAGUUGCAAGACUUGCUAACUUCAAUGUGCUUCACAUUGUACAACAAAAAGGAUGACAUUGCUGUGUGGCAAAAAUCGAAAGACAAUAGUUGCUACAGUAAGCUUGCUGUCCCGGAUGCCUACCCACCAACAUGCGAUGAUGGCACCGAACCUGAUUCAGCAUGGUACACUCCUCUCAGGCCUUGUGUUGUUGUUCCAAACCCGAAGCAUAAGAAGAUAGCACUAAAAUCGAUCCCCAAAUGGCCAGAACGGUUGACCGUGGUGCCUGAACGCAUCGGUGACAUUCACGGUGGCAGUGGCGGUGCGUUCAAGCAUGAUGACAGUAAGUGGAAGGUGCGAGCAAAGCACUAUAAGAAGUUGCUUCCUGCAAUUGGGACCGACAAGAUAAGAAAUGUGAUGGACAUGAAUACGGUUUAUGGAGGUUUUGCUGCGGCUGUGAUUAAUGACCCGCUUUGGGUGAUGAAUGUCGUCUCUUCCUAUGCUCCCAACACACUUGCUGUCGUCUACGACAGGGGCCUCAUUGGAGCCUACCAUGACUGGUGUGAGGCUUUCUCAACAUAUCCUCGAACGUAUGAUCUUCUUCAUCUUGAUGGCCUUUUUAGUGCUGAAAGCCACAGAUGCGAUAUGAAGUAUGUGCUGCUGGAGAUGGACAGGAUCCUGCGUCCAAAUGGGUAUGCGAUAAUCCGGGAGUCCAGCUAUUUUGUAGAUGCAGUUGCUACCAUUACCAAGGGGAUGAGAUGGAGCUGCCGCAAAGAAGACACGGAAUACGGUGGAGAGAAGGAGAAAAUCUUGAUUUGUCAGAAGAAACUCUGGUAUUCCUCCAAGAAGAGUACCAGAUGAUAAAGAAACCAAUACAAAUAUUGUGGUGAUAUUCAUUAUAACAAGUUAUAGGACAGAGGAGUAAGUUACCAAUCGCAUAGAGAGAAAAAAAAAAAAAAAAAAAAAAAAAAAGAAGUCUAUUCUAAGAAUCUUGAAAUUCAAUUUUAAAUUAGUUACUCAAUAAUUUUUUUUCCCCCAUAAAUAGUGGCUUUUGAUAUAAUAUAUUUUUUUCCAAGUCAACAAGCACUCAGAAUUGUACUCUUCCCUUUUAUCUUUUUUUGUUUGUUUGUUUUUGUUUCUGUUUUAUGUCGUGAAACCUAAAUGUGAAAUAUGUAAUUUGUUGAAAGGUCACAGCUUGUGAUUUUGAUAUGUAUCUAAUGCAAUUUGCUGCUUCA